UGCUUCCCGCUGACGAGCGGCGGACGGGUGAGUAAUGCUUAGGAAUCUGCCCAGUAGUGGGGGAUAGCCCGGGGAAACCCGGAUUAAUACCGCAUACGUCCUACGGGAGAAAGCAGGGGAUCUUCGGACCUUGCGCUAUUGGAUGAGCCUAAGUCGGAUUAGCUAGUUGGUGGGGUAAAGGCCUACCAAGGCGACGAUCCGUAGCUGGUCUGAGAGGAUGAUCAGCCACAUCGGGACUGAGACACGGCCCGAACUCCUACGGGAGGCAGCAGUGGGGAAUAUUGGACAAUGGGGGCAACCCUGAUCCAGCCAUGCCGCGUGUGUGAAGAAGGCUUUCGGGUUGUAAAGCACUUUCAGUAGGGAGGAAAACCUUAUGGCUAAUACCCAUGAGGCUUGACGUUACCUACAGAAGAAGCACCGGCUAACUCCGUGCCAGCAGCCGCGGUAAUACGGAGGGUGCAAGCGUUAAUCGGAAUUACUGGGCGUAAAGCGCGCGUAGGUGGUUUGGUAAGCGAGAUGUGAAAGCCCCGGGCUUAACCUGGGAACGGCAUUUCGAACUGUCAGACUAGAGUGUGGUAGAGGGUAGUGGAAUUUCCUGU
rnacentral:rRNA from 1 species